GAACCUGGGUAAACUCGCGUCUCUCGAUUCCGACCAACCCAUCUCAAGCCGCCACAUAGGUGUGAUGGCCUCACACCUAAGUUCUCUUACGAGGACAUCUGACGUGACAAAACAUGACAGUUGGCGCCCACCAUGGGUUGAGAAGUUUGCGAUUGAUCGGAUGAAGGAGAGCCAACACGAAAGAAUUCAUGCAGAUACAAGAUUGAGAUGGAGAGAAAAUUUAAGG
rnacentral:lncRNA from 1 species